UACCUUNUGUAUCAGGGUUUUNUAAAAUUAUUAAUUAAUUAAUUAUCUCGAAUCUGUAAUGAUCUAAUUAAUUUAUUUUNGUUUCAAUAANNNAUUAAUUAUAUUUGUGAUGAAAUGUUUUCGUAUUUUGGGUUAUCUAGUUACUUUAAUAAGCUAAUUUAUAGUUAGUUGUAGACUAAUUUAAUAGAAGAGUUAAUUUUUUUAUUUUUUAUAUAUAAGAUAGUUUGGGUUAUUGAUUAGGUUUAAUAUUAAUCAUAUUUAUAUAUUGUUAUAAAUAAUUAAUUAUUUAUUUUUAUAUCAUAUUAUAUAUAUUUUGGUUAUUUAAAUAUACAUAACAUUUAUAUAAAUAAUGAAAUAAUUAGUACUAUAUUUAGGUAGUAUCUUUAACUCGUGGUUUAUUUGAUAGUUUAACAAAAACAUUUUUUUUAGUAAAUUAAAGAUAGGGCCUGCCCAGUGAGAUUUAAACGGCUGCAGUAAUUUAACUGUACUAAGGUAGCAUAAUCAUUUGUUUUUUAAUUGAAAACUGGAAUGAACGGUUUUACAAAUAAUUAUAUGUAAGAUGUCUAUGUAGUAAUUUUUACUCUAGAUAAAAAUAUUUAGAUUACAUAAAGGGACGAUAAGACCCUAAAAGCUUUUUUAUUAGUUUAAUAUUAUUAUAAAUAUUGAAUAAAUAAGUUUAGUUGGGGCAACAUAAAUAUAAGAUUUAUUUUAUAAUAGUGCAGUUAUAUGUGGUUGUUUGGUCUUUUAUAUAUAGAAAGGUAGAGUGAGUUACUUUAGGGAUAACAGCGUAAUAAUUUUAGAAAGGCCUUAUUAAUAAGAUUGUUUACGACCUCGAUGUUGAAUUAAAAUGUCUAUAUGUUGUAGCAGGCAUAUUAGAAGGUUUGUUCAACCUUUUAUUUUUUACAUGAUUUGAGUUCAAAU
rnacentral:rRNA from 1 species